UUAAAGCAAAUUUGUAUGGAGUCGGGAACGUUUGCCUACGUUUGCCGCUAGGGGCGCUGUUCCAACUCCACACAAAUUUAAGUUA
rfam:Bombyx mori DNA, contig: Bm_scaf35_contig21187, strain: p50T/Dazao, build 2, whole genome shotgun sequence.